CCUACGGGUGGCAGCAGUGGGGGAUAUUGCACAAUGGGGGGAACCCUGAUGCAGCGACGCCGCGUGGGUGAAGAAGCGCCUCGGCGCGUAAAGCCCUGUCAGCAGGGAAGAAAAUUACGGUACCUGAAAAAGAAGCCCCGUCUAACUACCUGCCAGCAGCCGCGGGAAUACGGAGGGGGCAAGCGUUAUCCGGAUUUACUGGGUGUAAAGGGGGCGCAGACGGCGAUGCAAGCCAGGAGUUAAAGGCCGGGGCCCAACCCCGGGACUGCUCUUGGAACUGGGUGGCUGGAGUGCAGGAGGGGCAGGCGGAAUUCCUGGUGUAGCGGUGAAAUGCGUAGAUAUCAGGAGGAACACCGGUGGCGAAGGCGGCCUGCUGGACUGCAACUGACAUUGAGGCCCGAAAGCGUGGGGAGCAAACAGGAUUAGAUACCCGGGUAGUC
rnacentral:rRNA from 1 species